rnacentral:rRNA from 1 species
UACGUAGGGUGCGAGCGUUAAUCGGAAUUACUGGGCGUAAAGUGUGCGCAGGCGGCCGCGCAAGUCGGGUGUGAAAGCCCCGAGCUUAACUUGGGAACUGCGCUCGAAACUACGUGGCUGGAGUGUGGCAGAGGAAGGUGGAAUUCCAGGUGUAACGGUGAAAUGCGUAGAGAUCUGGAGGAACACCGAUGGCGAAGGCAGCCUUCUGGGCCAACACUGACGCUCAUGCACGAAAGCGUGGGGAGCAAACAGG